ensembl:lncRNA
GCGAGUGAUGGUUGUAGUUUGUGUGAGUGAAUAUUUGAGAGUGUGCAUACGUGUAUGUAAAGUCUAAUCCCUUGAUUGACUGGCCACUGUGUGUCCAGCUCUGUGCGAUGGCCGGGUGAAGAGGGCAGUUGACCUUAUGACCUCUUGACUCUGCAGUGUGCGAGAGGGUCAAUAAGUGGUGUAUGCUUAAGGCCUGCUGGACUGGCUGGCCCUGAUGAGUGGAUUCUCGGCUGUGGUGACAUCAGUGAUCUCAUGCUGACCUUCCUCUGACCUUCUCCACAGGUUUGGCCUAGAGAUUUCCGACCCUCAAUUUGAGCAGCUGUUGGACAGGCUCCCUCUUGACCGCCACGGAAAUGUGCAGUACCCGAUCUUCAUGGCAGCCUUUGACACCAGCUGUUUAGUCUGGUGAAGAAUUUGGUGGCAAAUCGUUACAGGGAUGUGCUAAGAGAGUUUGAAGAACUGGAUGAGAAAAACACCAGACGUCUUACUCAGGAGGACAUGUACCAGUUACUUAAAAGGCCUAAAAGGAGUCGUGGUCUGAAUGGGGGGCAUCGCGAGUGGAUUUGCAUAAUCUGUGGCGUGGCACUGGUGCACAGACACAGAGAGAGACGGUGCCAACCAGUCCAAGGUUAGAGCUCCAUCCUGAGGUAACUCGUGGAGAGGUCCGGAGGUUGUGGUCCUCAUUGUUCACUCAGCAGGAUGGAUCUGUGGACUUUCAACAGUUUAUACAUCACUUUGGCCCGUCUCCCAAAUCCUGCUGUUACCCCAAUGCCAAGCACAAUCCCCCCAAACGUGGAGACAAUGACUUGAUGCGCCUCUCCAAAAGACUCAACUGCGUCUCAGAUAUACUAGUGGAUGCUCUACGGGCCAAGGUGGAGUUGUCUGUUUCUGAGCUCUGGACUGAGUUCUCCGAAAUGGAUUUUUCUGGAACAGGUUUUGUUAGCAAUGAUGAAUUUAAAGACAUCCUUAUGAGUCUCUGUGUUCAUCUCAGCCAGUAUGAGUGUGAUCUGUUGGCCAAGAAGUUUGACAUCAACCAUGAUGGCAGGUAGAUACACUUACAUUAGGGAAGGCCAAAACAGAUAAAUAAAUAAAUCAAAACAUUCA